CGGGAGGAGUGGGAGCUCCUAUCCCAGCCAGAGAAGCAGCUGUACCAGAACCAAAUGCUGAGGAAUUACCGGGCGCUCGUUUUCCUGGCGCUUGUUUACUGUGCACCCGCCAUCUCUGUGUGAAAGGAUGGAUCCCACACAGCUCUGUUAACUGUCAUUAGCCCAUCGCAGAUUGCAGUGCACUUAAUCUUGAGGUUCCUAUCUGAACAUGAGUCAGAGCUGCCUGACUGCCGUGGGCCACGGAUAGAAACAAUGCCAGAUACUUUUGGCAUUCAUGGUGCAGCUGCACAUGGUGAACCAUCUCUUUUGGGCUAAGGAAACAAGCACUGAGUGAUGCAAUUGCAUCAUUAUGCCAGUCUGGGAUGAAGAGCAGCAGCUGCAGAACUUUCAGAUGCGGAAAGCCACCUUCCUGGAACUUUGUGCAGCUCUCGCCCCAGCACUGCAACUCAAGGACAUCAAAAUGAGAGCUUCACUCUUGGUGGAGAAGCACGUAGUGAUUGCAUUUAGGAAGCUGGCGACUCCUGACUGCUACCAGUUGGUCAUGAAUCAGUUUGGAGUCAGGUAGUUGACCACUGGGGCUGUGUUAGCACAAGUGUGCAGGGCCAUUAAUCGCAUCCUGCCACGAAGGACCAUGACUCUUGGCAAUGUGCGUGAAAUAGUGGGUGGCUUUGCGGAAAUGCGUUUCCCUAAGUGUGGAGGGACGAUAGAUGGCACGCAUAUCCCAAUUUUGGCACUGGACCACAUUGCCACAGAAUAUGUCAUUAGCAAGGGCUAAUUCUUCAUGGUUUUGUGGGUGUUUCAUUGACAUUAGCAUGGGGAGGUCCAGGAAAGUGAAUGAUGCAUGCAUCUUCAGGAAC